AUGUACAGCCGACCACAGGCUGAGAAGGAGCAGGAAGCUGGGAAGCUGAGCCAGUGGCAGGCGGCGCACCAGGCUGCCCAGGAUAAGUAGAACUCAGCACCCAUCUUGAACAUGACUCAUCUUCUGGAAGCUCCGGAGUGCACACCUCUUGGAACCAUGGCCUACCAAGCAUUCAGCACUUUCCUCACAGGACAGAGAUGCCGAGGGCCCCCUUGUUGUCUGUUGAGGCAUCAGGGAAGAUUGUGGAUGAAGGGGGGCCACAGUUCAGUAUGCCACUGCCUGAGCAUGGCGUGAGCUACUGCCCCUAAGCGACUCCCACUCCUUUCCGGAUGAUUUACUGUCAGGGAGUGUCUCCCCCUCAGCAAGAGAUGAUGAUUUUCAGUGGGCCCCAGAUAAUGCCUGUAGGAGAGGCCAGUACUCCAAAGGUGGCCAGGGCCUUCAGGCUGCCAGUCUCAGCUUCCACUGGAAUUCCAGUGAUGUCUCAUAUUGGGGACCCUACAAUGCCUUACCCUGGCCUCUCGACAGUACCUUCUGAUGAAACAUUGUUGGCCUCGACCAUGCCUUCCACUGAGGCCCAGGCUAUGCCCCCUCCGUGGCUCAGAUGUUGCCCCCACAAGAUGCCCAUGAUCGUGGGAUGCCCCGAGCUGAGUCCCAGUCAUUGCUGGUUUUAGGAUCUCAGGACUCUCGUAAGUCAGCCAGACUCCCAAGCAGGCCCAUUCCUACCGGAGCAUCCCAGACCUGCUCCACAGACAGCAGAGCAGAACUCCAGGCCUCAGGAAAGGACUGGUAGACGGGGCUCCUCAGAGGCAAGGCCUUACUGCUGCAACUACGAGAACUGCGGAAAAGCUUAUACCAAACGCUCCUACCUUGUUAGCCACCAGUGCAAGCACAUGGGUGAGAGGCCCUAUUUGUGCAACGGGAAAGGUGUUUAUGGUCUUUCUUCCGUUCUAAUGAGCGUAGAUGACAUACGUGGGUACACACCAGACAUUGACCAUAUAAAUGUGAUCAGUGCAGCCAAGAGUUCAUGAGGUCUGACCAUCUCAAGCAACACCAGAAGACUCAUUGGCCAGGACCCUCAGACCCACGGGCCAACAAUGGACAGCAGGACGGUCCUGUUCCUGGUCCU
rnacentral:lncRNA from 1 species